AGCAGUCGCCGCGGUAAUACGGAGGGUGCAAGCGUUAUCCGGAUUUAUUGGGUUUAAAGGGUCCGUAGGCGGAUCUGUAAGUCAGUGGUGAAAUCUCACAGCUUAACUGUGAAACUGCCAUUGAUACUGCAGGUCUUGAGUAAAUUUGAAGUGGCUGGAAUAAGUAGUGUAGCGGUGAAAUGCAUAGAUAUUACUUAGAACACCAAUUGCGAAGGCAGGUCACUAAGAUUUAACUGACGCUGAUGGACGAAAGCGUGGGGAGCGAACAGGAUUAGAUACCCCAGUAGUCCCUGUCUCUUAUAA
rnacentral:rRNA from 1 species